UCGAGUUUUCGGGCGGCAAGUACAUUAACAGCGGCCAAAGCAAACAAGGAUCCAAGGCCAAGCAUAUCAACAAAAAAUAUUUUGUCGUAGAAAGAAGAAAAUUGGGCACCCAUACGCUCAGCAAUUAUAGUAGCAACGAACUUAACGCUUGCCGCUUCUAAGCUUUUCUCUGAAACAAAAGCAAAAAAAGAAGCAACAUUUGAUUCAGAUGCACCGAUGACUAUCUUGGACAACAACUUAACCAAAAAUUUGCGAACUUCCAGCUGGUAUGCUGAAAGAAUCACAAAAGAUGAAAGUACUACCCAAAUAGAAUAAAGAAUCGUCGCAAACCCCAUUACUACAUGGAAU